CGUCUAUUUUUAGGUGCAUGUGCAUGAGAGACCUUGUUGAAUCCAUCUUUUUAAUAACCCGCGAAAGCGACAUGCAUGCAUAAUCAUAAAUAGUGUUUUCUUAUUUAGACCGGCUACUACCGCAUGCAUGCAUGCAUACAGUUCUUACACAUGCAUGGUGGGCUUCCUACAGCCGCGGCACGACAAGACUAACGUGCGGCGCCGCUACGUAGUCUAGUCCAUUUAUCAAAUCUAUACUAUACAAUGU
rnacentral:lncRNA from 1 species